UACGAAGGGGGCUAGCGUUGCUCGGAAUCACUGGGCGUAAAGCGCACGUAGGCGGACUCUUAAGUCGGUGGUGAAAUCCUGGAGCUCAACUCCAGAACUGCCUUCGAUACUGGGAGUCUCGAGUCCGAGAGAGGUGAGUGGAACUGCGAGUGUAGAGGUGAAAUUCGUAGAUAUUCGCAAGAACGACCAGUGGCGAAGGCGGCUCACUGGCCCGAUACUGACGCUGAGGCACGAAAGCGAUGGGGAGCAAACAGGG
rnacentral:rRNA from 1 species